rnacentral:rRNA from 1 species
AAUGUAAUUCAUACAACGUUAACACACUAGAUCCCAUUAGAACUCUACAAUUAUGUGCACUUGGUCUAGAGUAGUAAUGGGAUGGGUGACCUCUUGAGAAGUCCUAGUGUUUUACAUGC